rnacentral:tRNA from 1 species
GCCUGGGUGGCUCAGUUGGUUAAGCGUCUGACUUUGGCUCAGGUUCAUGGGUUUAAACCCCACGUCAGGUU